rnacentral:rRNA from 1 species
CAAUAGCGUAUAUUAAAGUUGUUGCAGUUAAAAAGCUCGUAGUUGAAUUUCUGGCGGGCGCGCCGGUCUUCCAAGUGUUGUACUGGGCGCAGUCCGCCAUCCUUGUGGAGAGGGCUCGCAUUGAGUUGCGUGUCGGAUCUGCAUCAUUUACUGUGAAAAAAUUAGAGUGUUUAAAGCAGGCUGUCGCUUGAAUACAUUAGCAUGGAAUAAUAAGAUAGGACUUCGGUCUAUUUUGUUGGUUGCGAACCGAGGUAAUGAUUAAUAGGGAUAGUUGGGGGUAUUCAUAUUUAAUUGUCAGAGGUGAAAUUCUUGGAUUUAUGAAAGAUGAACAACUGCGAAAGCACUUACCAAGGAUGUUUUCAUUAA